GUGGGGAAUCUUGCGCAAUGGGCGAAAGCCUGACGCAGCCAUGCCGCGUGAAUGAUGAAGGUCUUAGGAUUGUAAAAUUCUUUCACCGGGGACGAUAAUGACGGUACCCGGAGAAGAAGCCCCGGCUAACUUCGUGCCAGCAGCCGCGGUAAUACGAAGGGGGCUAGCGUUGCUCGGAAUUACUGGGCGUAAAGGGCGCGUAGGCGGACAGUUUAGUCAGAGGUGAAAGCCCAGGGCUCAACCUUGGAAUUGCCUUUGAUACUGGCUGUCUUGAGUACGGGAGAGGUGAGUGGAACUCCGAGUGUAGAGGUGAAAUUCGUAGAUAUUCGGAAGAACACCAGUGGCGAAGGCGACUCACUGGCCCGUUACUGACGCUGAGGCGCGAAAGCGUGGAGAGCAAACAGGAUUAGAAACCCGUGUAGUCC
rnacentral:rRNA from 1 species